rnacentral:tRNA from 1 species
GCAGUCGUGGCCGAGUGGUUAAGGCGAUAGUCUUGAAAACUAUUGGGUUCAUUGCACGCAGAUUCGAACCCUGCCGACUGCG